UACGUAGGGGGCAAGCGUUGUCCGGAUUUAUUGGGCGUAAAGAGCGUGUAGGCGGCCAGGUAGGUCGGUUGUGAAAACUGGAGGCUCAACCUUCAGACGUCGACCGAAACCAUCUGGCUAGAGUCCGGGAGAGGAGAGUGGAAUUCCUGGUGUAGCGGUGAAAUGCGCAGAUAUCAGGAAGAACACCCGUGGCGAAAGCGGCUCUCUGGAACGGUACUGACGCUGAGACGCGAAAGCGUGGGGAGCGAACAGG
rnacentral:rRNA from 1 species